rnacentral:rRNA from 1 species
UAAUUUGACCGUGCGAAGGUAGCAUAAUCAGUAGUUUCUUAAUAGGAGGCUGGAAUGAACGGUCGGACAGGGGGUUAGCUGUCUCUUGUAUAGCUUUUGAAGUUUACUUUUAAGUGAAAAGGCUUAAAUGAUCUUGGGGGACGAUAAGACCCUAUAAAACUUUACAGUUUCACUUUUGCUUUUGUGAAUUAAGGUUUAAAAUUAGACAUGAGUGGUCUGUUGUGUUGGGGCGACAAAGAUAAAAAAAGUAACUGUCAGGAAAAAAAAAUAAAAAUAAUUAUAGUAGUUGAUCCUUUUGGUUAGAGAUUAAAAGAUUAAGUUACUUUAGGGAUAACAGCGUAAUUCUCUUUGAGAGUUCUUAUCGACAAGAGUAGUUGCGACCUCGAUGUUGAAUUA